rnacentral:rRNA from 1 species
GAUAAAGCGAGCAAGGGCGCACGGUGGAUGCCUUGGCUCACGGAGGCGAUGAAGGACGUGAUAAGCUGCGAUAAGCUGCGGGUAGGUGCAAAUGACCAUUGAUCCGCGGAUUUCCGAAUGGGACAACCCGGCCGUCUGAAGGACGGUCAUCCUUACGUAUUUUGUAAGGAGGCGAACCGGGGGAACUGAAACAUCUUAGUACCCCGAGGAAGAGAAAAUAACUGAAUGAUUCCCCCAGUAGUGGCGAGCGACCGGGGAAGAGCCCAAACCGGGCGUGUGCUUUGCGCAUGUCCGGGGUUGUAGGACCGCGCUGUGGUAUGUGUAUUGCGAGAAGAAGGAUCUGGAAAGUUCCGUCAGAGAGGGUGAUAUCCCCGUAUUCGUAGCAAUGCAUGGCCUAGCGGUAUCCUGAGUAGCGCGGGACACGAGUAAUCCUGCGUGAAUCUGCCGGGACCAUCCGGUAAGGCUAAAUACUCCCGUGAGACCGAUAGUGUACUAGUACCGUGAGGGAAAGGUGAAAAGCACCCCUGGCAGGGGAGUGAAAUAGUUCCUGAACCCGUGCGCCUACAAGCGGUCGGAGCAUGUUUUUGCAUGUGACGGCGUGCCUUUUGCAUAAUGAACCUACGAGUUGCCGUCGCCGGCGAGGUUAAGCGUCACGAGACGCGUUAUCCGCAGUGAAAGCGAGCCUGAACAGGGCGUUUAGUCGGUGGUGGCAGACGCGAAACCGAGUGAUCUACACAUGGCCAGGGUGAAGUUCCGGUAACACGGAAUGGAGGCCCGAACGGAUAAGCGUUGAAAAGCUUCCCGAUGAGUUGUGUGUAGGAGUGAAAGGCCAAUCAAACUCGGAGAUAGCUCGUACUCCCCGAAAGGCAUUUAGGUGCCGCGUCGCGUGUUUCGCGUGAGAGGUAGAGCGACCGAUAGGAUGCGAGGGCUUCACCGCCUAUCAAGUCCUGACGAACUCCGAAUGCUCACGCGUAGUAGCGCGGCAGUAAGGGCGCGGGUGCUAAGGUCCGUGCCCGAGAGGAGAAGAAUCCGGACCGCCGUCUAAGGUCCCCGAGUGCUGCCUGAGUUAGUCUAACGAAGUCCGGUCCCCGUGACAGCCAGGAUGUUGGCUUGGAAGCAGCCAUUCAUUCAAAGAGUGCGUAACAGCUCACUGGUCGAGGGUCCGGGCGUGGAUAAUAAUCGGGUAUAAGGCAGCCACCGAAGGCGCGGGAUAGUAUAUUGAUUUAUAGUAUCGGUAGGGGAGCAUUCCGUGUGCGUUGAAUGGUGUACGUGAGUUAUCCUGGAGCGCACGGAAACGCAAAUGUAGGUAUAAGUAACGAUUAGGGGCGUGUGAUCCGCCCCGCCGCAAGACCGAGGUUUCCCGGGCGAUGCUGAUCAGCCCGGGGUCAGUCGGGUCCUAAGGCUCAGCCGAGUGGCGAGGCCGAUGGCUUCACGGUCAACAUUCCGUGACUUCCCCCAUGAGCGAUGUGGUGACGGAGCAGUGGAACCGCCGCGCACUGCCGGAGUAGUGCGUUGAAGGGUGUAGGCGCCGAUGCGUAUAGGCAAAUCCGUACGCAGAGCCGACCCUGAGAGUACCGUCGUCCCUUUUGGGACGGUGGAUAGUGUGGGUAAUCAUACUCCCGAGAAAACCCGCUAAGCGUUAAUUGUGUGGGAACCCGUACCGCAAACCGACACAGGUGGUCGUGUAGAGUAUACUGAGGCGUUGGGUGAUUCAUGGUUAAGGAAUUAGGCAAACUGACCCCGUAACUUCGGGAGAAGGGGUCCUCACUUUAUUGUGAGGCGCAGAGACCAGGUCCAGGCAACUGUUUAUCAAAAACACAGGGCUGUGCAAACUCGAAAGAUGACGUAUACAGCCUGACACCUGCCCGGUGCCGGAAGGUUAAGAGGAGAUGUCAGCCCUUUGGGUGAAGCAUUGAAUUGAAGCCCCGGUAAACGGCGGCCGUAACUAUAACGGUCCUAAGGUAGCGAAAUUCCUUGUCGGGUAAGUUCCGACCUGCACGAAUGGUGUAAUGAUCCGGACGCUGUCUCAACCAUGAGCCCAGUGAAAUUGUAGUAUCGGUGAAGAUGCCGAUUACCCGCGAUGGGACGAAAAGACCCCGUGAACCUUUACUGCAGCUUAGCACUGGACUUGGUCGCCGGAUGUGUAGGAUAGGCCGGAGACUUUGAAGUAGGUACGCCAGUAUUUAUGGAGUCAUCCUUGAAAUACGGCCCUUCCUGCGCCUGAGUCCUAACGCGUGUUUUUAUGCGGACACUGCUUGGUGGGCAGUUUGACUGGGGUGGUCGCCUCCAAAAGCGUAACGGAGGCUUCCAAAGGUGCCCUCUGGCCGUUUGGUAACCGGCCGUUGGAGUGUAAUGGCACAAGGGCGCUUGACUGGGAGGCAGACAUGCCGAGCAGGCAGGAAACUGGGGCAUAGUGAUCCGGUGCAAGUGUAUGGAAACUGCAUCGCUCAAAGGAUAAAAGGUACUCCGGGGAUAACAGGCUGAUCCCCCCCAAGAGCUCAUAUCGACGGGGUGGUUUGGCACCUCGAUGUCGGCUCGUCACAUCCUGGGGCUGGAGAAGGUCCCAAGGGUUGGGCUGUUCGCCCAUUAAAGUGGCACGCGAGCUGGGUUCAGAACGUCGUGAGACAGUUCGGUCUCUAUCUAUCGCGGGCGUUGGAGUCUUGAGCGGGUCUGGCACUAGUACGAGAGGACCGUGUUGGACAGACCUCCGGUUUACCGGUUGUGCCGCCAGGUGCACCGCCGGGUAUCCGCGUCUGGUAAGGAUAAGCGCUGAAAGCAUCUAAGUGCGAAGCCAUCCGCGAGAUGAGGGCUCCUUUGAGGGUCGUCCGAGACGAGGACGUUGAUAGGAGGCAGGUGUAAAGACGGUGACGUCAAAGCCGAGCCUUACUAAUUGCCCGAACGCUUUUUUC